rnacentral:rRNA from 1 species
CCUACGGGGGGCAGCAGUCGAGAAUCAUUCACAAUGGGGGAAACCCUGAUGGUGCGACGCCGCGUGGGGGAAUGAAGGUCUUCGGAUUGUAAACCCCUGUCAUGUGGGAGCAAAUUAAAAAGAUAGUACCACAAGAGGAAGAGACGGCUAACUCUGUGCCAGCAGCCGCGGUAAUACAGAGGUCUCAAGCGUUGUUCGGAAUCACUGGGCGUAAAGCGUGCGUAGGCUGUUUCGUAAGUCGUGUGUGAAAGGCGCGGGCUCAACCCGCGGACGGCACAUGAUACUGCGAGACUAGAGUAAGGGAGGGGGAUGCGGAAUGCGCGGUGUAGCAGUGAAAUGCGUAGAUAUCGAGAGGAACACUGGUGGCGAAGGCAGGUUCCUGGACAUUAACUGACGCUGAGGCACGAAGGCCAGGGGAGCGAAAGGGAUUAGAUACCCGAGUAGUC